rnacentral:rRNA from 1 species
GUCUACAGUCCUGCUACCCUGAACAAGCCCAAUCUCGUCUGAUCUUGGAAGCUAAGCAGGGUCAGGCCUGGUUAGUACCUGGAUGGGACACUACCUAAAAAUACCAGGCGCCAUAGGUG